GACGUCGAUAUUCGACGUCAUAAACACGAUCAAGUUACGUGUUUAUGACGUCGACAUUCGACGUCGUAAACACGUUCAGUUUUGGUGAGUAACUUUGGCUGGAAAAAAUGAAAAUUUUUUUGAAAGUUCGUCGAUAUUCGACGUCAUAGCCACGAUCACCUUAGAUGUUUAUGACGUCGAUACUCGACGUCAUAAACACGAUCAACUUUGGUGCUUCUGACGUCGACGUCAUAAGUUGAUCAACUUUGGUGUUAAUGACGUCGAUAUUCGAUCAACUUAGAUGUUUAUGACGUUGAUAUUCGACGUCAUAAACACGAUCAACUUAGGUGUUUAUGACGUUGAUAUUCGACGUC